CACAUUGUCAGUGAAGUGCAAGUGUAUUUAACGGCAAUAGAAAUUGUUACAUUACGAAGCUUAGGAAAUCUUGUCUACAAAUUACGUAUUGUUGAUAUUUAAGUCGGUUGGGACUGAUGGAGCUUCUAAAAUAUUUUUCUCGUGAAUAGAGAAGGAUAACGCUUGCCGUAGAUAAUUACUACGUAGUUCCGUAGACUAUGUACCUCCCGUGAUAAUCAAAAUACUCGUAGCGAUUUUGGAAUUUGUUCUGUUUCGAUUCGCGUCUACUUGAAAGUAAACUUCCUUUUCAAAUAUAAUAUAGUAAUGUAAGCUGAUAAUAUUAUAAGACUGCAGCGAUUACCGACGUGGGAAAAACAAUCUAUAGUCGGUUAGAAGAUAUGGAUAUCCGUAGAAAAUUCGAAUUUAAUCAAUUAAUGUUUGUGUUAUUAUAUGUAAAAAUUUAAGUAUAUGUUAUACAUAUGUAUAUUAUAUAUAAUUAUAUAGUAUAUGAAUAUUUAGUUAAUGUUGGACGUACUUGUAAUGCAUGGACUUGAAUUCGUCACUAACGAUGACUAAUUAUGGACACAACUCAUCAAACAUUCUCAUGUAUAAUUUAAAAUGAUAAAAUAUGCGAUUUGAGAAAUAAUCGAUUCAAAAUUCGGUUUUUUAAUAAAUCAUUUUUUAUUUGUCCUCUUUGUUCGGGAAAUUUAUUGAAAGAUUUGAAUAUCUAAUACUAAGGAGGUAUAAUAUAUUCAUUUCGGUAAAAGCUUAGAGCCACGAUACGAACGUAGAUAUUUAGUAAGUGAUAUUUACGUUUUCUGCUAACGUGUUUGACAAAAUUAGAGGAAACCAUGACAAAUUUCGGCUCACAUGAUAAUGCAACGUCAAAUAAUUAUAAUAGAAGCAGAGAGGGCACUGUGACACAUGAAAACAUAGAAAAACGAAGCUCUGCAUAGUUGAAAAUAAUAUAUGA